rnacentral:rRNA from 1 species
AAAGCCACUAAGCUUCAGCUAUUGACGACCGUACCGCAAACCGACACUGGUGCGCGAGAUGAGUAUUCUAAGGCGCUUGAGAGAACUCAGGAGAAGGAACUCGGCAAAUUGAUACCGUAACUUCGGGAGAAGGUAUGCCCCAAGUAGGUGAACUCGUACAGAGGGAGCCCAACGGGGUUGCAAAAAAUCGGUGGCUGCGACUGUUUAAUAAAAACACAGCACUCUGCAAACACGAAAGUGGACGUAUAGGGUGUGACGCCUGCCCGGUGCUGGAAGAUUAAAUGAUGGGGUGCAAGCUCUUGAUUGAAGUCCCAGUAAACGGCGGCCGUAACUAUAACGGUCCUAAGGUAGCGAAAUUCCUUGUCGGGUAAGUUCCGACCUGCACGAAUGGCGUAACGAUGGCCACACUGUCUCCUCCUGAGACUCAGCGAAGUUGAAAUGUUUGUGAUGAUGCAAUCUCCCCGCGGAAAGACGGAAAGACCCCAUGAACCUUUACUGUAGCUUUGUAUUGGACUUUGAACAGAUCUGUGUAGGAUAGGUGGGAGGCUUUGAAGUGAGGACGCUAGUUCUCAUGGAGCCAACGUUGAAAUACCACCCUGGUGUGUUUGAGGUUCUAACCUAGGUCCAUUAUCUGGAUCGGGGACAGUGCAUGGUAGGCAGUUUGACUGGGGCGGUCUCCUCCCAAAGCGUAACGGAGGAGUUCGAAGGUACGCUAGUUACGGUCGGACAUCGUGACGAUAGUGCAAUGGCAUAAGCGUGCUUAACUGCGAGACUGACAAGUCGAGCAGAUGCGAAAGCAGGACAUAGUGAUCCGGUGGUUCUGUAUGGAAGGGCCAUCGCUCAACGGAUAAAAGGUACUCUGGGGAUAACAGGCUGAUACCGCCCAAGAGUUCAUAUCGACGGCGGUGUUUGGCACCUCGAUGUCGGCUCAUCUCAUCCUGGGGCUGUAGCCGGUCCCAAGGGUAUGGCUGUUCGCCAUUUAAAGAGGUACGUGAGCUGGGUUUAAAACGUCGUGAGACAGUUUGGUCCCUAUCUUCCGUGGGCGCUGCAGAUUUGAGGAAGCCUGCUCCUAGUACGAGAGGACCGGAGUGGACACACCUCUGGUGUAUCGGUUGUCACGCCAGUGGCAUUGCCGAGUAGCUAAGUGUGGAAGAGAUAACCGCUGAAAGCAUCUAAGCGGGAAACUCGUUUCAAGAUGAGAUCUGCCGGGGCCUUGAGCCCCCUAAAGAGUCGUUCAAGACCAGGACGUUGAUAGGUCAGGUGUGGAAGCGCAGUAAUGCGUUAAGCUAACUGAUACUAAUUGCUCGUGCGGCUUGACCCUAUAACUUUG